rnacentral:tRNA from 1 species
GCACGCCGGUAAGCCCGGCUAAGCUCGACCUGCUUGAGACGUGGGUCGAUCCGGCGCUGUUCGACGCGGUGGGCGUUGAC